CACCUCCCUGGGCUCCAGGCUCCAGGUUGCUGGGCUCCAGCCAGGCUGUGAUGUAAUCCUCCCAGGGACCACAGUAGCUAAGAGCCUCCACAGAGCAGAAACCUGCCGGAAGCAGAGUGGGACUGGAAGGUCGUGUGGGCAGGCGGGGCCCCCUCAGGGAAGCAAACCCGAGGGGCUCCUUGGGGGACAAGGAGAAGGACGAUCACCACCCUCAGCCUGGUGGCUGAUGCCACCCGAAGAGGGUGGGUCCAGGAGGGGACUCCCAGUUUUGUGAGGCCACCGACCAUCUAUGGCCCUCGGGGGUGUCGACCUGGGGUCUGGGCUGGAGGUAAUCCACUUGGGGGUCAUCUAACUGCAGCUGGGACCACCCAUGGAGUUGAUCCAAGAGAUAAACGGUGGAGACCAGAGGCUUGAACCUGGGUCCUUGUGCACUGCAAUGUGCUUCAAAGCGUCAAAGCGUCAAAGGCAGAAGGAAGGCUUCUCUCUCACUGUGUGGUGGUGGUAUAUACCUGCUUAAACUCUCAACCACACAUGGACAGACACUUGGACUGCUUCCACGUUUCAGCUUCUGGGAAUAAAACCAGUGCAGGGAACCUGUAGAUUCUGCUCACCUGGGAUGCCCGGUCCUGGGGGCACGGCAGAGCUAGGAAAUUCUAGCUUGUUGGGCUCAGGACACAGCUAUCUGGAGGGCCUUCUGCCUGCUUCCUGUCAGAUGCCAGCCCCCGUCCAAGGCCCAUCUGUCCUCCUCCGUCACCGCUUACGUCCCAGCAGCCCAGCACUGACUGACCAGACGUCCCGGGUACCCGGUGCCAGAUUCCUCCCCACCUGCUGCUGCACCUGGCUGCAUGCCUGCCCCCAUCUGGCCCAGACACGGUGGCUGGAGUGAGCUUCACCAGGUGGAGAUGACAGCCAGUGGCUUUGCCACGAGCCUGGGCGGCCCUGGGCUUCCUGCAGGUGUGGUUCCUUCUGCCUCGUGUCCUUGCUCACACGGUUCAUCUGCCAACUCCUAUGCAGCCAACAACACCCUUGCUUGGAAGUCACCCCCACUGGGAAGUCUUCAGCCUCCCGAGAGGUGAAGUCAACCCACUCAGGCCGAACAGAGGGGGGCUGCUGUCCGCUGAGGGAAAGGACACUGGACACUUGGGGACACUGCCCACACCUGCACUGCCUUCUGGCCGUCACCAGUGGGGGCCUGGACCCUCUGCGGGCAUGUACAGGUCUUGUGGAAAAUUCACGGGGGUGGCUGAGCUGAUAAUCAGAAGUGCUACAAAGCAGGGAACCCCCAUAUUUCAGUUUGGAUCUGAAUUGGGGGGUAAGACUUGGGGGAAGGUACCUUCCUUAAAAUCUUUGAU